rfam:Stegodyphus mimosarum contig63324, whole genome shotgun sequence.
GCCUUCGUGGUGUAGUGGUCAGCACGCUGGGCGAGUAUUCUAGAGGUCCGUGGUUCGAGUCCUGGCGAAGGUG